AUGUAUAUCCCACAAAUGAGCUGGUGCAGAGAGCGUGUGCCAGCUCCUCAGACGCGCCACAGUCCCCCUUCCCGCCAAGCCUCGGUUACGUGGCAAGGGGGAAAUUAUUUAGCUAACGGUCCCUUCUCCAAACACCUUCCCAGCCGGGAGGUCAGCUGGGCCCGGGUCCCAGCGGAGGCCCGCGUUAGCGCUCAGGCGGCGCUACCCUCUCCCUCCCGGGCCUCCCGGGCCCUCCGGCCGGCCCGGCACUCACCGUCUCGGGGUCGUUCUCGAACACCUCCCGGGCCUCCUCCUUGUUGCACAGCUCUUCUAUGCACUCCCUCUCCAGGUGGCCCUGCUUGGCCUCCUCGAAGACCUGGAAUAUUUCGCAAAGUCACAGGCAACAAAACCAACGAACCAACAAAACCAAAACCGAGCAGACGGUUCGCAGGGACCCCGACCCAGACCAGGCAGGGAAGAGGGGCGCGGUGUGGAGGAUCCUGCUCCGGAGAUCCACGCACUCCCCCCCAGCGGCCCAGGCGGCUGCGGUCAACCCUGUGAAGUCCAGGCACCCCAGCUUCCCCACUGGACCGCCAUUGCUGGUGAACUCUUCCUGCUGCUUUCGGCGACUAGGGCCACCACAGCAGCAGACGUUUCCUGUGUCUUGUGCCUCUGCCACCUGAGCUCUCACCUGCAGCGGUGACGGGGUUCCUGAGCGCGCUGGGGGCACCCGCUUCUAGCGCCUGCUUUCAGCCUGAGGCGUUUUCCACUCAUCCAUCACAGGAAGCGCCUGGACAGUGUGAGAAGUUAGUGCCCCUGUCGAGCCCUCCUGAAAUGAUAAGGACCAGGAGUGAGAGGAUAAAUGCCCCCCCUCACUCUCCCCCGGGGGGUUCUUCUGAGGCACCAUCUACACCUCCUGUUCCCCCCGCUCUUCUUGGGGACUCCUCUGAAGUGCCGUCCACACCUCCUGUUGAGUGUCUUCAGCAGGAAAGCACUGCAGUCAUCCUCAGUGAAAACCCGUUCAACAACACACCCUGCAUUUGCUUCCACCCCUUCCCGGUCUCCCUUUCCCCACCCCUGCUCUCUUCCAGAAAUCCCACGUAUACUCCCCACACCCAAAUCUCCGUCCCCGCCUCUGCUUUGGGGGAACCCAAAAUAAGAGAGGCUCCCCAUUCACCAUCCUCCCAUCUAGGAAGCUUUGUCAGGUGCCACAGUCAGGCAUUUAAUCUCUGCCUGAACGUGCUCUGUGGCCGGAAACUGAUUUCCUUUUAAGUUGAUAUAUCACAUUUUAUUCUAUCAUUUUAUAAAUAUUCAGGGAUUGAUCUUCUUUCAGCUUUGUGGGCUCAGACUCGUUCUUAGAGGCCCAGGUCAGGUAAUAUUUUUUCCUGGAAUGGAUGUACUCAUGCUCGACUGUGAAGCACUAACUAGUCACCAAAUGAAUGAAGCCUAUAUUUAUUUAGGUUAUGGAAUUAAGCAGUCAAGAAGGUACAUGGCAGACCCUUAAUCAAUACUUUUAAAAAUUAAAUAAAUAAAAGAAAAAUGAGCUGUGAAAGGGAGAAUGAAUUGACACUGAAGAGACCUGUCAUCCAGACCCAGAUUUAGAAUCUACAACUGGCAGCAAAUUGCAGGUUGUCGGCUAUAAUCAUUUCCCCUUUCCAGGGAAAGGGAGACUCUGAGAGAUGACGUGGCCUAUGGUCACGUCACCAGUAACUAUAUUUGUGCCCUGCACUCACUCUGCAGCUGCAUUUCUCCCCUUCUGUUUUGUCAUCAACUCAUAUCCCGAUUCUAGAUUCCCUCCUCCCCUUGUCUCCUACGUUUGAUCAGUCACCACGUCUAUUCUUUCUCCUGCAGACUUCUUUACCUGCGCCAGUGUAGAAUUUUCCUUGUUGUUCUCCUUUCUCUUUCUGUUUAACCUCACAAAGCUGCCAGAGUGAUGGCAAAAACACACAGCCAGUUCUGGGUGGUUUUUUGGGGGUAAUGUCUCCGGUGGUUCCCAUGGACUGCAAGUGUAUUUCUCAAAGUGCGCUUUGAAAAAUACCUGCUCAGAGUUACACGGGCUUGGGAACAUGCAGAUUCUUAAGUUCUGACCCAGACAAACUGAAUCAGAAUUUCUGGGAGUAGGUCCUGGGAAUCUAUAUUUAACAACCACUCCAGGCAAUUCAGGUACACAGUAAAGUGUAAGAGCCACUGGCUUAAAGGAUAACUUGGAAGCUUCUGGCACAAUUUACAGGGCCUUAAAAAAUCAACUUACCAUUUCUAACUCACUGCUUCAGCCACUUUCUUCAAAUUCGACCUUGGCCUGCCUCUCGUGUCUCUGUAGCUUUGCAUAGUCCCUCUUUCUGGAGGGUCUGUUCUCUUCUUUUCUACCGGGAAUACUCCUACUCAUUUUCAAGAGCCAAUUCAAAUAUUGCCUCCUCUGUGAAGCCUUCCUAGAAGGCCCAACUGAUUUAGUCACAAGCCUCUGAAAGCCUCUCUGCACAUGCCGUACCUCUGUCACAGAGCUGAAAUGAUUUCUUUAUGUGUUGGAUCAGAUAGCAACCACAGUACAACAAGCCCAGCCAAAGGAGCCUAUGAAAAGAGAGGCAAUUCAUUCCUUGUGUAACUCCAAAGCCCAUGGGGUAGGGCUGGUUGAUGCAGAGGAUGGCACGAAGCCACCCUGUCCUGCUCUGUCUUUCUGUGGUUUGCUCUGGGGUGGCUCCAUUCUCAGCCAGGCUCCCCUCGUUA
rnacentral:lncRNA from 1 species